UCUCCUGCUCCGCGGCUUCACUGAGGUCUGGAAGCUUGAGCCCCACUAAGUUCUGAUUUCUCAUCAGGAUGUGCUCCUUUGCAGAAAAGAAAAAGACAACAUCUCAGGGGAAACCUGCUUUGUGAGCAGCGUGUGGGUACGUCUGGAGAUGCGUGGGGCUGCCUUGUGUGUGAGCUGAAACUCUCCCAGAGAGCUCUAUCGUGGGCCCAGCUCUAGCAGCGCCAGGUUUUUCUUCUUGUCCUCCUCUGAGAUGCUGAUGUCCG